rnacentral:tRNA from 1 species
GGAAAGCAUUCGUGCCCGGUGGCGCGGCUGGGCUUCAAACCCAGUUGGGGGCGUCAGACGUUCCCAGGUAGGUUCGACUCCUGCUGCUUUCCGCCA